rnacentral:rRNA from 1 species
UACGUAGGGGCAAGCGUUGUCCGGAAUCAUUGGGCGUAAAGCGCGUGUAGGCGGCUUGGUAAGUCCGCUCUGAAAGCCCGGGGCUCAACCCCGGGAGGCGGGUGGAUACUGUCAAGCUCGAGUCCGGAAGAGGCGAGUGGAAUCCUGGUGUAGCGGUGAAAUGCGCAGAUAUCAGGAGGAACACCAAUGGCGAAGGCAGCUCGCUGGGACGUGACUGACGCUGAGACGCGAAAGCGUGGGGAGCAAACAGG